AUUGAACGCUGGCGGCAUGCUUUACACAUGCAAGUCGAACGGCAGCGCGGGCUUCGGCCUGGCGGCGAGUGGCGAACGGGUGAGUAAUACACCGGAACGUGCCCAGCAUAGGGGGAUAGCUCGGCGAAAGCCGGAUUAAUACCGCAUACGACCAGAGGGUGAAAGCGGGGGAUCAUUGGACCUCGCGCUAUUGGAGCGGCCGAUGGCAGAUUAGCUAGUUGGUGGGGUAAAGGCCUACCAAGGCGACGAUCUGUAGCUGGUCUGAGAGGACGACCAGCCACACUGGAACUGAGACACGGCCCAGACUCCUACGGGAGGCAGCAGUGGGGAAUUUUGGACAAUGGGCGAAAGCCUGAUCCAGCAAUGCCGCGUGUGUGAUGAAGGCCUUCGGGUUGUAAAGCACUUUUGGCGGGAACGAAAAGGACUGUGCCAAUACCACGGUUCGAUGACGGUACCCGCAGAAUAAGCACCGGCUAACUACGUG
rnacentral:rRNA from 1 species